rnacentral:lncRNA from 1 species
GCCAGGUAAGACAAGACAUGUCUGCCUUCCCUUCCACCAUGAUUGGAAGUUUCCUGAGGCCUCCCCAGCCAUGCUAUCUGUAAAGUCGGCAGAAUUGGUUAUUUCAAAGAAGAUAAUACUGCAAAGCGCUUGGAAUAUGCAUAUGUUUACAUGCUUCAAAUGAUGCGGAAUCAGAAAGCAGCGAUUGAAACUUACUAACCCGACCUGCUAGUCUUUGAACUGAAGCUCUUUGCUGCCCUCUGUAGAUACCUAGAGAUGAAAACGGCAAAGUCAACAUUCACUUUCUCAGUUAUGGUAAUUUUGUUCUGUAAUCUUAAUAGAAAAAUAGACUAAACAGAAGGUGUUUCAAUUAAAGGGAAAUUAAGGAUCGUUUUUUCCUAUAAUUUCUUUUGUACUAUAUCGUUGAAUUUCUGUAUUUGCCUUUAAAAAAAUCACUAUUUAAAAUUAAAACUUCGUGUUUAAAAACACUAUGGUAAGACAAAGUGAAAAUACACACAUGAAUGCAUGAAAAAAGAAUUAGUAAUUUUUCAACUUUCUUUUGACUUUUUUAUCAUUUUAUGUAUAUUAUCCACAUUUUAAAAGUCAUAUGAAUUAUGGUAGAUAAUGUCCUCUAAACAUAAGCUACAAGUUCUAUUUUCACAUGAUAGUUUUCCUUGCCUUUGGCAUGAUAAUUAUUGUUGUUUCUAGUUUCUUGGGAGGGGCUAUUCUUUUGCAAGAAAAUAAUCACUAUUUCAAUUGUUGCAAUUCAACUUAAAAUUAUUUUGCUGAGCAUUUUCUAUGCACUCAGCAAAAGUCUACAUGCUGUGUAGGGGAUAUCAAAAUGAUGAUAAUAAUAGCAGCAAACUGCUAAGUGCUUAACCUUGGAAAGAUAUUGUAGCACAUUACUUUACAUAUGCUAACCAUUUAGUCUUCCCAAAUAUUAUAAGGUGUCUGAUUUUGUAGAGCCUACAAUUUUGUUGAAAAUAGUAUUACUCGAUGUUCCAUCAUCAUUUCUCUGUUACCACAAAUUGCUAUCUUAAGGCAUAAGAAAGGUCAGCCACGUUUUGUAAUGCUUGCUAUUUCACAGCGUGUAUGCGGUUUUACUCCUAUUCAGGUUAUCAGUACUUCAAGCUUAUCUAUAGCAUCUUGUCUUUUAAGCACUGUGUUAAGACUACUUCUCAAGAUAUAAUCAACUACUGAAUGUAGUUUCUCUAAAUAUUAGCCAGGCUUCCAUCUAUCAUAUCUUCAAAGUAGUGGUUAUAUCUUUAUGAAAAUAAGAUCCUAAAAGUCCUACACUGUGGUCCUUCAUUAUUUCUACUAAAUAAAUUUCUAC